rnacentral:rRNA from 1 species
UACGUAGGUGGCAAGCGUUAUCCGGAUUUACUGGGUGUAAAGGGUGCGUAGGCGGGCAUUUAAGCCGGCGGUCAAAUGUCGGGGCUCAACCCCGGCCUGCCGUCGGAACUGGGUGCCUUGAGUGGGCGAGAAGUAUGCGGAAUGCGUGGUGUAGCGGUGAAAUGCUUAGAUAUUAGGAGGAACACCAGUGGCGAAGGCGGCUUACUGGACGAUGACUGACGCUGAGGCUCGAAAGCGUGGGGAGCAAACAGG